GGAAUCGAUCUUACCGAUUUUCGUCGCGAAGCGACGAAAAUCGGGAUCGAAUCCCACUACGGUAACAUACGAGGGUAUCCAAACAACACAUACUAUCCAAAUAAAAAAAUAUGGAGUUCCGGUUUAUACCAUGGGCGUGCGACGACCCCGAUGAAAUUCGGGAUAUCACGGUCUUCGUUAAUGCUAAUAAGCGUCCGUCAGAUCAGUAGGCGAAACGCAAUAUCCGCACUAUAAGAUGUCUGCGACCCGAAAGAAUAUUCAAAGAAAGCUGUUAAUUUUGUUGCGUCAGAAGCUAAUCAGCCGGUAACGUGACUACACUGAUAUAAUUUGUGAUACAAACAUGCUUUAUUCAAUACUGAGUAGCAUUUUUAAACGGCGACAUUUUGAACAUUUUUAUAUCUAGAGUGAGAGUGGAUACACGUUACACUGGCGCCGACAUUUUGAAAAUUUGAGGAAACAAAAACAUUCUCCAACGAGUUCUUCAGCUCGGGGAAUGAGAGAAUAGAUUCACCUUUGUGUCGCUUUUCAGAUCGUAUUUUAAUUCCUUUCCGGUACUUUAGAUUCUUUGAACUUCUCUGUUACUAAGCCUAUAUCCUGAGUUUUUAAAAUUAAGAAAUUUACUUGCAGGCAUGACUGAUUAAUGGAAUUAUUUUACUUUUAUAAUAGAAUAUGGACGGCACUCCAGUACAGCAUGUGCAUGGUUGGACCUGUUGACAUUUUAAGAAACGCAUCUUGGUCUAUUAUACAGAGUAUUGUUGUACUGCUCCAAAGUGCUUGUUGACAGACUGAAACCACUUGCUUGCGGCUCAUAAGGUUCACUUCUUGAGAGCAGGCAGCUACAAAAUUGAAGGUCAACAAAUCCAGUAUACUUGAAAGCAAGAAAGAAACACCAGAAAAUAUAAAAAGACAGAAGAACAAGGGAACUUGAAUAAAAAAACAAAACUUUUAAGGAUAGGAAUUCAGGAUUUACUUAGAAACUAAAUUUAUUUUGAGAACAGCAGUGUUUGACUAAGCUCUGUUACUUUAAGAGAUAAUGUAUUAUCACAUUGGUUUUGUUAUUGUCGAGCCCGCUUGCAGAAGCGAAGACAUAGUUGUCCAAAUGUCUAUUCGGUGUAUGUGCGUGUGUCCGUCCGGAUUUUUUUGUCCGGACCAUAAUUUGGACAUGCAUGGAGCAAUCUUGUUUAUAUAUGGUAUGAAUGUUAACCUCAGUGAGACGGAGUGUCAUGCGCAAGCCCCAGGUUCCUAUCUCAAAGGUCAAGAUCACACUUACAGGUCAAAGGUCAAAUUCAAAAAUGACUUUGUCCGGAGCAUUUCUUCUUCAUGCAUGGAGGGAUUUUGAUGUAACUUGGCACAAUUGUUCACCAUCAUGAGAUGGAGUGUCAUGCGCAAGAACCAGGUCCCUAGGUCUAAGGUCAAGGUCACACUUAGAGGUCAAAGGAUACAAGAAUGACAACUUUGUCUGGAGCAUUUCUUCUCACUUAUCGGACAGAAAAAUCUCUAUUUUUAGCAAUGCUGGAAAAUCUUAUCUCACAUGGGUUAUCCCACACUCCUGUGACGGACUACUUCAUGCACUGAAUAUUCAUAUUACUUAUGUAAAAUAAUUAAAAAUCAGGUACCUUUAUCAUUUCUCUCCGUUCCUUAUAGUGUAUUUCUCGAUUCAAAAUUCAUUACUUUAUGAUAAGAACGUACCGUUACGUUACAAACGACAAAACUAAAGUGGAACUUUGUUAUUGUGCGUCACUGAAAUAUCACGAUGUCACUUCUGCUUACGGACGCCAAUUUCCCGCGUUUUAAGUAGUUUCAUAUUUUUAUGCUUGUUUUUAUUGUUUCUGUUGUGGUAAGUGAGAAAUAGAAUCCAUCAUUGGUGUUCGGUGAAGAUCGGAAAUCCCAACCCUCGGGCGCACCGCUGAAGUCUUAAACUCGGCUCAGCCUCGUUUAAGACUUGAGCGGUGCGCCCUCGGGUUGCGAUUUUCUGAUCUUAACCGAAGACCAAUGAUGGAUUCUCUAUUUCUUCAUGCAUGGAGGGACUUUGAUGUAACUUGGCACAAA